rnacentral:rRNA from 1 species
AUACAGAGGGUGCAAACGUUGCUCGGAAUUACUGGGCAUAAAGCGCGCGUAGGCGGCCAAGUAAGUGCGAUGUGAAAGCCCCCGGCUCAACCGGGGAACUGCAUUGCAUACUGCUUGGCUAGAGCUUAGGAGGGGAAAGUGGAACUCCUGGUGGAGCGGUGGAAUGCGUAGAUAUCAGGAGGAACGCCAGAGGUGAAGACGACUUUCUGGCCUAAUGCUGACGCUGAGGUGCGAAAGCUAGGGUAGCGAACGGGAUUAGAAACCCGAGUAGUCC